rnacentral:rRNA from 1 species
GACGUAGGGUGCAAGCGUUGUUCGGAAUCACUGGGCGUAAAGAGAGCGUAGGCGGGAUUGUAAGUUAGGAGUUUAAUACAAGGGCUUAACCCUUGGCUGGCUUUUAAUACUGCAGUUCUUGAAUGUGGGAGAGGGCGAUGGAAUUCCAGGUGUAGCGGUGGAAUGCGUAGAUAUCUGGAAGAACACCAGUAGCGAAGGCGGUCGCCUGGCCUAACAUUGACGCUGAGGCUCGAAAGCUAGGGGAGCAAACAGG